GACGAACGCUGGCGGCGCGCCUAACACAUGCAAGUCGAACGGAGGACCCUUGACGGAGUUUUCGGACAACGGAUAGGAAUCCUUAGUGGCGGACGGGUGAGUAACGCGUGAGGAACCUGCCUCAAAGAGGGGGACAACAGUUGGAAACGACUGCUAAUACCGCAUAAGCCCACGGCUCGGCAUCGAGCAGAGGGAAAAGGAGUGAUCCGCUUUGAGAUGGCCUCGCGUCCGAUUAGCUAGUUGGUGAGGUAACGGCCCACCAAGGCAACGAUCGGUAGCCGGACUGAGAGGUUGAACGGCCACAUUGGGACUGAGACACGGCCCAGACUCCUACGGGAGGCAGCAGUGGGGAAUAUUGCACAAUGGGGGAAACCCUGAUGCAGCGACGCCGCGUGGAGGAAGAAGGUCUUCGGAUUGUAAACUCCUGUUGUUGAGGAAGAUAAUGACGGUACUCAACAAGGAAGUGACGGCUAACUACGUG
rnacentral:rRNA from 1 species